CUGGCCGUCACUGUAUUUCCAAUUUAAUAUUAAGGGUUGAGGUAUCCGAGGGAGAUCUUGCUCGAACAUGGGUUUCGAGCCAGUGAUUCUAAUGGUGACGAAGUGCGCCUGCGCGGUAAAUGCAUCACAGCCAAUGAAAAAAUUCGUUAAAAUAAUCAACCAAUCACGUGACUUCAUGUGGAGAAGAGAAGGGUCACCGUCAGACAUUUUAUCACUCUAUCGCCACGUCUAGCGGUGAUCAGUUCUGCUACUCUUAAGAGAAGGAAUAGCAGCAUUUUCUGACGAAGACGAUCCUGUUGCGAAUUUCAUGGCGUUUACGAUGGCACUGGUACAGGUGCAAAGUGCCCCACAUAGCAAAGGAAGUGUAAUAUUGAGGAGAUUCAGUAUCGUGACGGUGCAGACUUCAGCCGGCUGGACAAGAUGGCGUCGUUGCUGCUGUUGCAGCGUCACCUAAUAGCAGCUGAAGGAAUGAUGAACAAGUGGGUGAGCUCCAUACCUGAAGGAAGGAUGAAGUGGGUGAGCUCCAUACCUGAAGGAAGGAUGAAGUGGGUGAGCUCCAUACCUGAAGGAAGGAUGAAGUGGGUGAGCUCCAUACCUGAAGGAAGGAUGAAGUGGGUGAGCUCCAUACCUGAAGGAAGGAUGAAGUGGGUGAGCUCCAUACCUGAAGGAAGGAUGAAGUGGGUGAGCUCCAUACCUGAAGGAAGGAUGAAGUGGGUGAGCUGUACGACAACUGCCCGAACCAGGAUUCGAACCGCGGCCCACGGUUUCAGAGUCGCGAUGGCCAUUGCAUCAAAGAUCUUGAAAUUGGACGGUCCGGCAAAAUUACUGGCAAGUCAAAUACUGUAGGGAGGAGUGUGCUGAUGGUGCUGACCCUGCCCAAGUUUCGACGAUUUUAAUCCAAAUGGUUCAUUUUUUGGUAUGUUUAUUAUUACACAGCAUUUGAAAUUAAAUUUCUUGAAUUUUAAAUACACGAACUCGGCAGCACACGGCGCAUGCUUGCUCUAUGAGUAGUUUCCUUAGUGACGAGACAAUUUACAUUUCUAGGUAGUAGAAAUGUAACCAUAAAAAUUGCCAUGCGAAAAGCGCCAGAAUGGAGUUGACCCAAUGCUUUUUUUUUUCCGGAGGGAAAAACAAAGGAUACCGAAUAUACACGACCCACGAUAUCUGUCCCUCUCUACCUACACAGGGAUUUGCUAUUAACCAAACUUAAAAAAUAAAUAAAAAUGUUAUUUAGUUUUACUAUAUUAACCAAACUUAGAUUUCUUUAAAUCAAAAUGUUAUUUAGUUUCACUAUAUUUUAGUUAGUCUUCAGCAGCCAAUCCGAAAGUUUUUUUUAAUUAGCUCGUCAGACAACCUAACCAAAUUUUCUGCCAGUAAGUAAGUAGUAGUGCGCGGAGGGAAGCAGAAGACUUCAUCCGUCUGCCUCAGUGCUACGGUGUUCCCUUCCAUCAUCAUCCUGGAACAUGCAAGACUUGGCUGAUGGAAGGGAACAAACACCGUAGCACCGAGGCAGACGGAUAAAGUCUUUCUGCUUCUCUCCUCGCACUACUGGCAGUUCAACUUGGUCAGGUUGUCUCCUCCAUUCAAACAAAAUACUGGCAGCUUUGUUUUUCAGGCCUUCCUGCGGGAGAUGUGGCCGGUCUACGUAACUGUCCUAAAAUACCCGUGCCUGCGCCGAGUGAGCAGCAGAGCUACGCCUCGGGGUCAAAGGGAAAGGCGCAACGAGGACGUUACCCCACCACAUGGAGGAUUUAGCGCGAAGGGAUGUUAAACGUCUUCAGCCACGUUGGACCUGGGCUUACGUCUCUGGUUAAGCACGCUAUCCAAAUGAGCUGGGGCAGCCACCGCCCGUGAUUGGAUAUCGGACAACCCGUGGUUUCUUCGUCGAAGAAUGACGGCACGGGUUCUGUGUAUCGACUGAUGUGACAGUGACGGAUGGAGUCCAGUGGUUCGCCUUCUCCUUUCGCUUGGGGGCUGCGGUUAUCGAAAGGCUCGUGGAGCAGGUGUUUCAGGGGGUUGUAGUGGAAGUCUGCCUUGGUGUACCGAGACGACAGAACUGCUGAGUCGUCGGUGGAGAAGGUGCUUUAGGUAUGCCGAGUUGUCUGUGGACAGCCAACCUGGAAAUAAGUCCGAAGUGGAGGUGCCUUUCCUGGGCCGAGAAGGAAGUCUAGAGUGCCCACUGAUGGGGCGGGGCAUGAGGAGCUUCA